AAAGUGGGGGGAUUCUUCGGACCUCAUGCUCCUGGAGCGGCCGAUAUCUGAUUAGCUAGUUGGUGAGGUAAAGGCUCACCAAGGCGACGAUCAGUAGCUGGUCUGAGAGGACGACCAGCCACACUGGGACUGAGACACGGCCCCAGACUCCUACGGGAGGCAGCAGUGGGGAAUUUUGGACAAUGGGCGCAAGCCUGAUCCAGCAAUGCCGCGUGAGUGAAGAAGGCCUUCGGGUUGUAAAGCUCUUUUGUCAGGGAAGAAACGGGACCGGCUAAUAUCUGGUUCUAAUGACGGUACCUGAAGAAUAAGCACCGGCUAACUACGUGCCAGCAGCCGCGGUAAUACGUAGGGUGCAAGCGUUAAUCGGAAUUACUGGGCGUAAAGCGUGCGCAGGCGGUUUUGUAAGUCUGUCGUGAAAGCCCCGGGCUUAACCUGGGAAUUGCGAUGGAGACUGCAAGGCUUGAAUCUGGCAGAGGGGGGUAGAAUUCCACGUGUAGCAGUGAAAUGCGUAGAGAUGUGGAGGAACACCGAUGGCGAAGGCAGCCCCCUGGGUCAAGAUUGACGCUCAUGCACGAAAGCGUGGGGAGCAAACAGGAUUAGAUACCCUGGUAGUCCACGCCCUAAACGAUGUCUACUAGUUGUCGGGUCUUAAUUGACUUGGUAACGCAGCUAACGCGUGAAGUAGACCGCCUGGGGAGUACGGUCGCAAGAUUAAAACUCAAAGG
rnacentral:rRNA from 1 species